rnacentral:miRNA from 14 species
CUGGGCAGGAUAAGAAGUGUUUGGCUGGAAAGCCAUGUUCACUCAGCCAACCACAUCUCUCCUCAG